ACUCCUGACAAGCCCAGCUGGGCACCUUCACCUCCAUCCCGAGUUCUUGCUUUCUGUUCCUGCGGUGAGACCACAGCAGGCAGAACCACCUCACGCUGCUGACUGCCCUCUCUGUGUGGACAAUGGUGGCCACACAGCACUGCUGAAGACUGUGAACACAAAGGUGUCCUGAUGAGUGAGGGACUUGGCAAGAGGCAGCAGACUUCAAGGAUGAAUGUAGAUGCUUGACGAGGAAGUUCCUUCGGCUUGUCGGGGAACAGGCUUUAAUGACCACAUAUGAGACAUGACCUUCCCCUCCCGCUAGCGGGGAUCUGAAAUGAGGAAGCCAGAGGAGAGGACAGAUGUACAGAGGAGGGGCGCGUGCAGAGGUGUCGGAGGAACCAACUGCAGCCAGUUACUAAACAUGAGACCAGGAACACCUGCUUCCACUCAUAUGUAUAAACAGUUUUUUAGGUUGAUUUCUGAGAAGCACCUUUGAUGAUGUUCUAGUCUCAUCAAAUCUCUAAAAAUGUAGCUAUGGAAAGUG